UUGGAGGGCAAGUCUGGUGCCAGCAGCCGCGGUAAUUCCAGCUCCAAUAGCGUAUAUUAAAGUUGUUGCAGUUAAAAAGCUCGUAGUUGAAUUUCGGGAUUCAUCCGUUGGUCGGGCUUCACGGUCCGUACUGGUGUGAUGGGUUCCUACCUUCUGAAUAACCGGCAUGCCAUUAAUUUGGUGCGCCGGGGAAGCAGAACUAUUACCUUGAAAAAAUUAGAGUGCUUAAAGCAGGCAAGUGCCUGAAUAGGUUAGCAUGGAAUAAUAAAAUAGGACGGCAUGGUUCUAUUUUGUUGGUUUCUAGGAUCACCGUAAUGAUUAAUAGGGAUAGUUGGGGGCAUUAGUAUUCAAUUGUCAGAGGUGAAAUUCUUGGAUUUAUUGAAGACUAACUUCUGCGAAAGCAUUUGCCAAGGAUGUUUUCAUUAAUCAAGAACGAAAGUUAGGGGAUCGAAGACGAUCAGAUACCGUCGUAGUCUUAACCAUAAACUAUGCCGACUAGGGAUCGGACGAAGUUAAUUUUAUAAUGACGCGUUCGGCGCCUUACGGAAAC
rnacentral:rRNA from 1 species